GACGAACGCUGGCGGCGUGCUUAACACAUGCAAGUCGAACGAAGUGGCGAACGGGUGAGUAACGCGUAAUCAACCUGCCCUUCAGAGGGGGCUAACAGUUGGAAACGACUGCUAAUACCGCAUACUGAAGGAGGGGAUUGCGUCUGAUGAGCUAGUGGGAGGGGGAACGGCCCACCAAGGCGAUGCUCAGUAGCCGGUCUGAGAGGAUGAACGGCCACAUUGGGACUGAGACACGGCCCAGACUCCGACGGGAGGCAGCCGUGGGGACUCUUCCGAAAUGGAAGAAAGUCGGACGGAGCAACGCCGCGUGGGUGAUGACGGCCUUCGGGUUGUAAAGAUCUGUUAAUCGGGACGCGGUACCGGAAUAGAAAGCCACGGCUAACUCCGUGCCAGCAGCCGCGGUAAUAC
rnacentral:rRNA from 1 species